GAUGAACGCUGGCGGCGUGUUUUAGGCAUGCAAGUCGAACGAUCGCGCGUMGAANUAUGUGCGGGGAGUGGCAAACGGGUGCGUAACACCCUGGUAACCUACCCGAAGCUCGGGACAACUCCGCGAAAGCGGGGCUAAUACCGGAUGUGGUCAUCUGCCGUGGGUGGAUGAAGAAGGCCGCAAGGCGCUUUGGGAGGGACCUAGGUUCCAUCAGCUUGUUGUAGGGUAACGGCCUACCAAGGCUACGACGGAUAGGGGGCGUGAGAGCGCGAACCCCCUACUGGGACUGAGACACUGCCCAGACUCCUACGGGAGGCUGCAGUCGAGAAUCUUCCCCAUGGACGAAAGUCUGAGGGAGCGACGCCGCGUGUAGGAAGAAGCCCUUCGGGGUGUAAACACUUUUCUAUGGGGAACACUGACGGUACCAUAGGAAUAAGGGGCUGCUAACUCUGUGCAGCAGCAGCGGUAAUACAGAGACCCCGAGCGUUAUCCGGAUUUAUUGGGCGUAAAGAGCUGUAGGCGUCUGGUUAAGUCCUCGGUUAAAUCCCACCGCUCAACGGUGGAUGUGCCGKCAUACUGACCAGAUUGAGGUUCGAAGAGGUAAGCGCAAUUGCCGGUGUAGUAGUAAAAUCGUUGAUAUCGGCAAGAACACKAA
rnacentral:rRNA from 1 species